rnacentral:rRNA from 2 species
CCCUAGUAACUGCGAGUGAAGCGGGAAGAGCUCAAAUUUAAAAUCUGGCGGUCUUGUGGCCGUCCGAGUUGUAGUCUGGAGAAGUGUUAUCCGCGUCGGACCGUGUACAAGUCUCCUGGAAUGGAGCGUCAUAGAGGGUGAGAAUCCCGUCCAUGACACGGACGCCCGAUGCUUUGUGAGGCACUCUCGAAGAGUCGAGUUGUUUGGGAAUGCAGCUCAAAAUGGGUGGUAAAUUCCAUCUAAAGCUAAAUAUUGGCGAGAGACCGAUAGCGAACAAGUACCGUGAGGGAAAGAUGAAAAGCACUUUGGAAAGAGAGUUAAACAGUACGUGAAAUUGUUGAAAGGGAAACGCUUGAAGUCAGUCGCGUCCCGUAGAACUCAGCCUGGCUUCGGUCUGGUGUAUUUUCUAUGUGGACGGGUCAACAUCAGUUUUGGCCGGUGGAAAAAGGCAGAGGGAAUGUAGCGCCGCCUCGGUGGCGUGUUAUAGCCCUUUGUCAAAUACACUGGCUGGGACUGAGGACUGCAGCACGCCCUUGUGGCCGGGGGUUCGCCCCACGUUCGUGCUUA